GGGGCUGUAACUCAGUGGUAGAGUGCCUCGUUUGCAACUUCAAAAAUCUCUCUCUUCGAGAGAUCCUGAAAACUAAUGCUCGAUGAAGUCCAGGGUUCGACUCCCUGCCGCUCCA